rnacentral:rRNA from 1 species
UAGGGAAUCUUCGGCAAUGGGGGGAACCCUGACCGAGCAACGCCGCGUGAGUGAAGAAGGUUUUCGGAUCGUAAAGCUCUGUUGUUAAGGAAGAACGAGUGUGAGAAUGGAAAGUUCAUGCUGUGACGGUACUUAACCAGAAAGGGACGGCUAACUACGUGCCAGCAGCCGCGGUAAUACGUAGGUCCCGAGCGUUGUCCGGAAUUACUGGGCGUAAAGGGUUCGCAGGCGGCAUGGCAAGUCCGAUGUAAAAGGCGAAGGCUCAACCUUCGUAAGCAUCGGAAACUGUCAAGCUUGAGUGAAGGGGAGGCAAGUGGAAUUCCUAGUGUAGCGGUGGAAUGCGUAGAUAUUAGGAGGAAUACCGGUGGCGAAGGCGACUUGCUGGACUUCAACUGACGCUGAGGAACGAAAGCGUGGGUAGCAAACAGG